AAUUGAGAUUUAGUCCCUAUCAAAUAAAUAAAUUUUCGCAAUUCAUGAUUAAAGUCGUUCAUUUUGCCCUAGCCAUGGAGGGAGGAGUCAUGUCCGGUUCACUACAGUGGAACCACGAUGAAGCCCAGCUUUUCCCGACCGGCGGCUGCUUUUCUAGAUCUCGUAUCUUCAGGUUGGAGAGCAGCUCCGAAGACGUUGAUGGUUGAUGCUGAAGUUGAAGGGUGGUCGUUUCCCAUGCUGUCGAGGAGAUAAAGCGAUGUCGAGGAGGAAUUUCAUCAAACACCUAUCCUGCACUGUUCCUCCUGCCAUCCCUCGGGCGUUGUCCCGGCCUUUUGCCUCGCUCCCGACGCUUUCCCGCCAAAGCAGCCAAGGAGCUCACCAGAACCAAGUGAUUCAAGAUCCGUAUUCUCUCCUUAAGGAGGAUCCCGUCGACCUUGUUUCUUCUUUAUGGGUGAAAUCCUUCUCUUCACCAACCAACAUCGUCUUCCCGAACCUCACGGGCUUCCUGGCGAAAUUUGACCUCUGGGUCCUCGCCUACCAACGGACUUGUGCUCAUGCGACUGGCACAUUCCCGCCUCGCAAUGCCAUUCAUUUCAGCGCUCUCCAUUCUCUCCUAUCCCUCAGAAAUGCAGUUACUCGCAACCAAUUCAAGUGGAACGACAAGACCCAUCAGCUGGUUCGCAGCCCUUUUGAUAAAACAGGCACGAGGCUAAUCUCUAAAACUAAGCUUAGGGCCAUAUUGGAGUCGAGCGAGCCCUGUUUCCAAGAUAGGGUGGUCCAAGAGGUUCUACUCAUGAUUCUCGAGCCGGUUUUUGAGGCUCGGUUUUCUGUAAAAUCACAUGCUUUUCGGCCAGGAAGAAAUGCCCAUACUGUUAUUAGGACAAUUCGGAGUAAUUUUUCGGGGUAUUUGUGGUUCUUGAAGGGUGAUGUAUCUGAAAUAUUGAACAGUUUGGACAUAAAUGUGGUGAUGGGUCUCUUGGAGAAGGCUAUCAAAGAUAGAAGAGUGAUGGGACUGAUCAAGUCAGCAUUCAGAGCCACGGUCAGGAAUCAAGUGCCAAGGGAUGACAAUGAGAAAUUGAGAACAAAGAAGAAAAAGGGGACCAAGAAGAAGAUUCUGCAAGAGAACGAGCCAAAACCAGAUCCUUUCUGGUUAAGGACCUUUUUCGACUUUGCACCUGAGGAGGCUGCCAAGGUACCCGAUUAUGGUUGUUGUGGCAUUAUAAGUCCUUUACUUGCUAAUGUUUGUCUGAAUGAACUGGAUCAUUUCAUGGAACAGAAGAUUAUUGAGUUCUUCAAACCAUCUCAGUUUGAUUCCAUAUGGAAAAGUUCAAUUGAUGAUGGAUGUCAUAAUCCUUCUUGGCCUGAGUUUGUUCCUUCUAGUGGGAAAGAGAAGACAAGGAAAAUGGAUUAUAUUAGGUAUGGGGGUCAUUUCUUGAUAGGAAUUCGAGGGCCUAGAGAUGAUGCAGUGCAAAUACGGAAGGAAAUUAUUGAAUUCUGCGAUGUACAAUUUGGUUUGAGGCUGGAUAAUUCCAAGUUGGAGAUAGAGCAUAUCAGUAGAGGUAUCCAGUUCUUGGACCACAUUAUCUGCCGUCGAGUAAUACACCCAACACUCAGGUACACCUCUACUGGAGGCAAAAUCGUGAGUGAAAAAGGUGUGGGCACUCUGCUUUCAGUUACUGCUAGCUUACAGCAAUGCAUUCGUCAAUUCAGGCGUCUUAAGUUUGUUAAGGGUGAUAAGGAUCCUGAGCCAUUACCUUGCACUCCAAUGCUUUACUCCAGUCAAGCUCAUUCAAAUGCUCAAAUGAAUAAGUUUCUGGAGACCAUGGCAGAUUGGUACAGAUAUGCUGACAAUCGCAAGAAAGUUGUGGGAUUUUGUGCUUAUGUGAUUCGAAGCUCUCUAGCUAAACUCUAUGCCGCGAGGUACAGACUAAAAUCUCGUGCCAAGGUAUAUAAAAUAGCUUCGCGUAACCUUAGCCGCCCAUUAAGAGAGAGUAGCAACAAUUCUGCGCCUGAAUAUUCUGAUCUUUUGAGGAUGGGGCUUGUUGAUGCAAUUGAAGGCGUUCAGUUCUCACACAUGUCUUUGAUUCCCUCCUGUGAUUACACUCCCUUUCCUAGAAACUGGGUUCCUCAUCACGAAAGGGUAUUGCGUGAGUAUAUCAAACUGGAAGAUCCUAAAUUUUUCUGUGAGAUACAUAGAUCGAUAAAGAGGCGGGGUUUGAGUUUGCCUCAAGAUGAGGUAUCUGAUAUUGUAUGGGACUGUAAAGUUCGUGGCUUAAGGCGUCAUCAAAUUGAUGUGUGAAGAUAAAACGAUCAAACUCUUUUAGUCUUGGCUCAAGGUUCUGUAGCAUACUAGUCGACUUAUGAAACUUACCAAUUUCCACCUUGCUAUAUUUAAUGCCUAGGAAGAAGUCUCCUUGGAAGAAUGAGUUAAAAUCCUGGGGUGCCAAAGGGAGGACUCCUAAAAGUGAGUUUGAAGUUUUUUCGCCUUAUUAAUCCCAGAGGCAGUGGUGGAAAUGUGAGCAGUGCCUCAAAUUGGGUAAGUUCAUGGUAUCUUCGAUCUUCAUUAAUGUACCUCAUCUAUCUCUAGUCAGAAACCUUGAAAAAUCCCAUCUGAAUUUUUCAUUAAUGAGUAAAAAUGUCUUAGCCAAAAUUAAACAAUUUCGAUAAAAUACAGUCCAUAAACAAAGUACCACCAGUUUGCCUUUACAAAAGGGAAAGAGUAAAUUUAUUCUGGGUUUGUAUUAGAAUGAUCUUGCAUAUUUUGCAAAAGUGAUCAUUGUAGGCUUGAUCUUCAGGCCUUGUGAUUUCCUUAUGCCCUUAGGAAGAUUACAUGAUUAAUUUCUACAGAUGCAUCCGAUCCUGAGUAAAUAUAUCUUGUCGUAAUUUGUAAAUUUUAUACAUCGUGCUAGCCGAAUGAAGCAGUUCACUUGGAAACUUGCUUUUUGCCCAUCUAAGCUCUUUGGCCUGUGUUCAGAAUCCUUUAAGUUACUGAGAGAAUGGCCAAAACACCAUCCCCCAACCAGUGCAGAGUUGUGAUCUAUUGAGUGGUCAUUUUUCAUCUUCCCUGCUGCAAAUGGAUCUUUUUCUUCUUUGCAUGAAGGUUUUCAUUGGACAGCCAGGUGGCUCUUGAGACCUAUGAGAUUCCAUAUUAUCUCUAUUCUUGCCUUCAGUAUGUGGGUUUGGGUUACCCUUCAGGUUACUAGAAAUCGCCAGGUACUGGAUCUGUUACCCUGAUAGUUUAUCCUCCAUGCCAAAUUUUGCCGAUUCUUGACUAUAUGGGAAUGGGAUAAGUGCACCACAAACCUUAAAACUUACUG